AAAUGGGCUGCUUCAUAUCGAGCUUAAUCCGGUUGUUGAGGGCGACCAAGGAUCGUACAAACUGACGGAAUUAAGUGAAACUACUGCUGUCAUAGAAUGUGUGACUUUAUACAUGCUAGCUAAGCCUCGGCCGCCUACAGAUUUACACAUAAUCAAUACGCCUGGCUUGGUAAACGCUAAAUGGAGUAAAGGCUUUAACGGAGGAAGUCUUCAAACUUUUCUACUGCAAAUAUCCUAUGAUACGAUUUGGAAGAACUUGACGCAAGUGAACGAAACUGACAGGAAUAAUAUGUUGAAUGAAACCGUGUAUCAAGUCAAUAUCACAAAUGUAGAACCUGGGAAACACUCGGUGCGAGUUAUUGCUUUCAACAAAGUUGGGUAUGCAGACCCCGUGCUAUUCAUGGAAAACGAUUCGGAACAGAUUAACUUUCAAGAAAGCACGAGUGGAGCUAAUAGUUUGAAAAUUACAGUUAUGUCGCUGAGCUUCACAGUUGCAUUUAUUAUACAUGUUCUUGCACGUGAUACAAUUGAACCGUGGUUACUCUGUGCCUUUUGAAAAUACCAAAACCAAACAAAGAAAUGGCCUAUUUUCUCAAUACAACCAACUCUCAAGUGUUAGAUAGUCCUCCACAGUGUCAUUGUGUUUGCUUUGGGAUCAUUUUACAUUGUUUUGUUAUUCAUGAAAAUCGAAUACCGCAGACGCCCGAGCUUAGUGGUAUUUGUAAUAUUUCACGAACACAAUUCUCGACUUUUAAAACUGUCAAUGAUCCUAUCUUUCUUAAUGUUGUCAGUGGGUGCAUGGGAAAUCUCAACCGUUAUUCUGAAGGAUGAAUGUUGAAACUGUUCACUAUGUGUGACAGUACCAAAAACACGAUAUUACAGGACCUUUAAAAGACAUAAAUAUAUUAUAUGUUUCUUAAAUUUCGGCAAGAAAACUUGACCAGAAAAAUCGGCGGUCUGUUUUUCCAAAAUUAACAUCAGUGCACUCGUGUCAGUUUCACAAAACUCCAAGACAGAGUCAUUUACUUAUCCAAAAAGAUUGACAAAGCUUAAAGAGUAGCUUAUUAAUCACGACUGUACCAUGUAUACACUUAGGCUUAUAGUGUUAUUAUUUGUAGAUGAAAUGGCCAGUGUAGUCAAGUCAUCUGACGAAAUUCAGAAUCAUUUUGAUUAUGUUCUCAAACCUAAAAUACUAUGUCAACUAUUUUAUCCUUCUGUUGCCCCUCUUUUCUUUAUUACCUGUUUAUGCUUGGGAAAGGGCCGUAACUGCUGUUGGAAAAACUUCCAAAGGGCCCAAUCCCUUUGCAUGUCCUUUUUAUUUGAACGCAAAAUUUGUUACAUUGCACUGUUCUGUUUCUUUGUUGUUAUCAUUAUCAUAUAAGGUGUAAAUGUAUCGUUAUGCAAUAAAAUAUGUUUAACUAAAUAUGCUUUCGAAAUAUGGGGUUUUCUAAAUGAGAAUAAAUGUCAAUAUAUUUGUUAGAAUUAUACACUUUUAGUUUAAAGUUGUCAACAGUGAUAACAUUAUAAUACCCACUGUAUAUAUGCAAGCAUUAUCUGAUUGUAUAAAUGGUAACAGUAAUUGGGUAUCUAAUAUUAGAAAGCUAUUGAGAAAUUCUGGUUUUGCUUGUGUUUUUGAUAAUGUUAAUUUCAUAAGUAUUAAGUCAUUUUUGUGUGAGUUUAAAACUUGAAUAGUUUACUUUUUAAGCAAGAAUGGUUUACAUCUUUAGAUAACCCAAUUCUUUUUUUGUAUAAAUAAUUGUUAACAAACAUUUUCAUUUAAAAAUGUGCCGCAUCAUACCAAUAUUGACCCAAUCACUGGAACAACCUAUAGCAAGUGUUUCUUACAUUCUUGUUUUGUUGUAUAUAUUGUAAAUUACUGUUAAAUAUGUUAAUAAUUAAAGAAGUCCAACUUCAACAAAAAUUAUUUAUUUAUGAAACAACGUUUCGGCCACUCGGCCUUCAUCAGGUUGUAUGUAUAUAAUGAACAGGAAAUGACGUCAACAUCAAAUGACAACAUCUGGUCAAGUUUUCUUGCCGAAAUCGUUAAUUAUGUUAACAUUUCGAAAUAAAGAGUGUAGAGGUGUAUAUAAUCAAACGGGUAGAUAUACCCGAAAUCGUAAUCAACGUGAAGAAAAAUUUCUGUUUCAACUCAAGAGAUAUAGAAAUAGAAGUAAA